rnacentral:rRNA from 1 species
CCUACGGGAGGCAGCAGUGGGGAAUAUUGCGCAAUGGGCGAAAGCCUGACGCAGCGAAGCCGCGUGAGGGAUGAAGGUCUUCGGAUCGUAAACCUCUGUCAGCAGGGAAGAACGGUCACUGUGCUAAUCAGCAGUGAAUUGACGGUACCUGCAAAGGAAGCACCGGCUAACUCCGUGCCAGCAGCCGCGGUAAUACGGAGGGUGCGAGCGUUAAUCGGAAUUACUGGGCGUAAAGCGCUCGUAGGCGGUAUGUCAAGUCAAGGGGGAAAUCCCCGCGCUCAACGUGGGAACUGCCUUUGAAACUGGCAAACUGGAGUGUGUUAGAGGAUAGUGGAAUUCCAGGUGUAGGAGUGAAAUCCGUAGAUAUCUGGAGGAACAUCAGUGGCGAAGGCGACUAUCUGGCACAUAACUGACGCUGAGGAGCGAAAGCGUGGGUAGCAAACAGGAUUAGAUACCCCGGUAGUC